GCAAACUUGGUCAUUUAGAGGAAGUAAAAGUCGUAACAAGGUUUCCGUAGGUGAACCUGCGGAAGGAUCAUUACCAAAUAAAAACGUCCGGAGGGUGGAGGCUCCUCCUCCGCCCCCCGGCCGGACGUCUUCCCUCCCGGGAAGGCAUCCGUACACCCCUUGUGAAACGCCCGAGUUGCUUCGGCAGCGCGCUCCCCGCCUCCAUCCGCCUUUGAAAAGGGGCGGGGGGAACGGAGAGCGAUCAGCCUGCCGACAGCCCCCUUGAAGAAACUCUUUGCAAGUUUGAUUUAUUUUUAUCACUGUCUGAUCAGAACUGUCGAAUGACUAUAAAACUUUCAACAACGGAUCUCUUGGUUCCCGCAUCGAUGAAGAACGCAGC
rnacentral:misc_RNA from 1 species